AAGCAGGCGGGCACCGAGAGGGGUGGUGGCGCGUCCACCCCUGCAGAGCCGCCUGCGCGGUUGUCCCGCGCGUCCCUGCCGGCCAAGCCUGUGAGAAGCACCGCGUGGCUACGGCGCCUCCAUCCUCUCUAACAGCUGCGCUUACCAGACAGCCAGCCUCCAGCGCUGCUCGGCUACUCCGAGCAGGGGAGAAAAGACGCCGGUCCGCCGGGGACCAGGAGGGAGGCGUGAAACCAGAGGCCUGGGGGCCCCCUCUCCGCCUGUGCGACUUGUAGUCUCGUACCAGACGCGUCCGCUUCGCUGCUUAAUCUGAAAACGUGGGCUCUUGAGAGCUGCCCUUGGAAGGAGCGGUGCUUUCUGCCUCAUCUUUAACUUUUCAUUUAUUCAGCAAAUAUGUAUCAAGUUCCGACUUCGUGGAAGAGAUUGUGUUAGACACCGGGAAUAAUAGAAACAUAAUUAAGAAGCAGGGGUCCCGGACCUGAAGGGCCUGAGCGUCGGUUCUGAAGGCUGAGAAGUUCAAGGGCAAGUGCUGGCAUCUGAUGAGGGCCUUCUUGCUGUAUCAUCCUAUGGUGGAAGGGUUUCACUGUGUCUCCCAGGCUGGGGCAUAGUGGAGAUCAUGGCUCACUGCAACCUUGACCUCCUGGGCUCAAGCGGUCUUCACACCUCAGCCUCCCCAGUAGCUGAUCCUACAGGUUCUUUCAAACUGGGAAAGCUCAUUAAAAGAAAAAUGCGAAAAUCUACUGGCAGGAUCCUGAACCCUUGGAAGCUCUGUCUGGAUGCAUUCUUCUCUGGCAGGAUGCUCUAUGUGGCUCUUUCCAUGUGUAGUUUCCAAUGAAACAGGAAGGACUCUAAUUGAGUGCCUGCCCACAUCUCUGCAGCUCCACACCUUCCACUAAGGGCACAAUAAGACCUCCACUGUGAGAGGCUCCACAGUGUACUACGUUGGUGAUGGCAUAUUCUGAGGGGCUGAUCUGCAGAAAAGGCCAAGUGAAAAGUCACCCAAUAAUGAGAAAGGAGGAAGAUGGCAUGUAGAAUGCAUGAAUAGGAAAUUAUAUUGAGAAAUCCAGAUGUGCAGUUGUGCAAGAGCAAGCUGGUGUGGAUUUUUGAAUGGAUAUUCUGAAGACAACUAGGUGCUGGAUGCCAUGUUGUCAGCUGCCUUGUGGAGAGACCCAUGUGGGCAAGGAACUCUGGCCAACAGAUGAUCUGGGUGGUCUCUGGUCCACAGCCAGGGAAGGGCCGAGCACCUCUGACUAGAGGCUUAUGAGAAACUGAAUCCUGCCAGCAAGACACCAACCAAUCCAAAAGUAUCAGCCAUCUCCCUAUGCAGGGUGCCAGAGGGCUGGGUUCCAGCCCGUUCAUUGCUGGAUUGUGGAGGACUCCAGGUGGUCUGGGAAAAGGAGUGGAGCAACAUGCAGCAUGUCCCAGCAAAGCUUCGCAAAGAUGUCAGUAUUAAUUGUCACCAUCCUCCAGGGAGGAAGCAACAGCCCACAAUUGCCUGCAUUUUCUUUUCUCUUCAAAACCACUUCUGCUCCAAAGACCAUGAACCUGAACUGAAGAAACGACUCCUUCCUGCUGGCGUGAGAUAAUUCAGUCUCCAUGAUGUCUUAAUCCUGGGCCUCCCUUAAUUGACUUCUCACUGUGCUGAACUGUGGCUGCUAGGAGUUGCAAUGUGGAUCGCAAUUUACAAGGCACUGGAAUCGUUUCUCGUCUUCAAAUUAGUCCUGAGCUGUACUGGAGAAAGAAAAAAAGGGGCCUUUACCCUUCUUGCUGUCUUGCCACCACAAGUGAGACUUUCUUACCAUCUCAGAAUGGAUGGUUGCCUUUUAACAAUUUAGUUAGGGACAGAAAGGAAAAAGAGUUAGGGCUGCCAAUACUUCAUCAAUUUUGUCUUAAUAAAGUUGCCUCAUAUGGCC
rnacentral:antisense_RNA from 1 species